rnacentral:tRNA from 1 species
GGGCAUGUGGCGGAAUUGGUAGACGCGCUUGACUCAAAAUCAAGUUCGAAAGAGUGCGGGUUCAAGUCCCGCCUUGCCCACCA